AGGUCGUUUUGAGGACAAUUUCUUAAUAAUCUUUUGUAGCGCUCCCAUGACUCAUAAAGUGACUCACCCGAUUGUUGUUUAAAGUUGGCUAUUGCCUUUUUGAGUUU